rnacentral:rRNA from 1 species
UCCAGACUCCUACGGGAGGCAGCAGUGGGGAAUAUUGCACAAUGGGGGAAACCCUGAUGCAGCGACGCCGCGUGAGUGAUGAAGUAUUUCGGUAUGUAAAGCUCUAUCAGCAGGGAAGAAAAUGACGGUACCUGACUAAGAAGCACCGGCUAAAUACGUGCCAGCAGCCGCGGUAAUACGUAUGGUGCAAGCGUUAUCCGGAUUUACUGGGUGUAAAGGGAGCGUAGACGGAGAGGCAAGUCUGAUGUGAAAACCCGGGGCUCAACCCCGGAACUGCAUUGGAAACUGUUUUUCUAGAGUGUCGGAGAGGCAAGUGGAAUUCCUAGUGUAGCGGUGAAAUGCGUAGAUAUUAGGAGGAACACCAGUGGCGAAGGCGGCUUGCUGGACGAUGAUUGACGUUGAGGCUCGAAAGCGUGGGGAGCAAACAGGAUUAGAUACCCGGGUAGC